rnacentral:rRNA from 1 species
AGUGAACGCUGGCGGUAGGCCUAACACAUGCAAGUCGAACGGCAGCACAGGAGAGCUUGCUCUCUGGGUGGCGAGUGGCGGACGGGUGAGGAAUACAUCGGAAUCUACUCUGUCGUGGGGGAUAACGUAGGGAAACUUACGCUAAUACCGCAUACGACCUACGGGUGAAAGCAGGGGACCUUCGGGCCUUGCGCGAUUGAAUGAGCCGAUGUCGGAUUAGCCAGUUGGCGGGGUAAAGGCCCACCAAGGCGACGAUCCGUAGCUGGUCUGAGAGGAUGAUCAGCCACACUGGAACUGAGACACGGUCCAGACUCCUACGGGAGGCAGCAGUGGGGAAUAUUGGACAAUGGGCGCAAGCCUGAUCCAGCCAUACCGCGUGGGUGAAGAAGGCCUUCGGGUUGUAAAGCCCUUUUGUUGGGAAAGAAAUCCAGCUGGUUAAUACCCGGUUGGGAUGACGGUACCCAAAGAAUAAGCACCGGCUAACUUCGUGCCAGCCGCCGCAGUAA